GCGCGAAAACUUUACAAUGCGGGAAACCGCGAUAAGGGGACACUGAGUGCCAGCACCAUAUGCUGGCUGUCCGCAUGUAUAAAUCACAUGUGUCAGCAAGGGCCGGGCAAGACCGGUGCCAGCCGCCGCGGUAACACCGGCGGCCCGAGUGGUGGCCAUUAUUAUUGGGUCUAAAGGGUCCGUAGCCGGUUUGAUCAGUCUUCCGGGAAAUCUGACAGCUCAACUGUUAGGCUUCUGGGGGAUACUGUCAGACUUGGAACCGGGAGAGGUAAGAGGUACUACAGGGGUAGGAGUGAAAUCUUGUAAUCCUUGUGGGACCACCAGUGGCGAAGGCGUCUUACCAGAACGGGUUCGACGGUGAGGGACGAAAGCUGGGGGCACGAACCGGAUUAGAUACCCGGGUAGUCCCAGCCGUAAACGAUGCUCGCUAGGUGUCUGGGAUGGUGCGACCGUUUCAGGUGCCGCAGGGAAGCCGUGAAGCGAGCCACCUGGGAAGUACGGCCGCAAGGCUGAAACU
rnacentral:rRNA from 1 species